rnacentral:rRNA from 1 species
GACAGAGGGUGCAAACGUUGUUCGGAAUUACUGGGCGUAAAGCGCGUGUAGGCGGCCCUGCAAGUCGGGUGUGAAAUCCCACGGCUCAACCGUGGAAGUGCACUCGAAACUGCAGGGCUAGAGUCCUGGAGAGGAAGGUGGAAUGCUUGGUGUGAGAGGUGAAAUUCGUAGAUAUCAAGCGGAACACCGGUGGCGAAGGCGGCCUUCUGGGACAGUGACUGACGCUGAGA